AUGGAAAGACUAUUAUUGUACAAAACCAAUGAAAUAUUUAGCCACCGCAACACAACAUACCAAACCCCUGCAAACACUGGACAUUCAAAGAAAAGACGAGGCACUGACUCUUCCUUACCCCACUCUCCUACACAUAGGACGGAUCCUUGUACAAUAACUCAUCUCCUAAACAAGUUAUCUCUCAAAGCUAUUUUAUUCUGGAAAAUCCCCCAGGCUAAACAUGAGACUUUGAUAGAAUCUCUUUACACCAUGCCUUAG